rnacentral:snoRNA from 1 species
AUCCCAUGGUGGGGACAUGCGAUGACACACUCCUGCAGUCGCUCCUAGGCUUCUGGUAUUGACUCGUCCUUCUUCUACUAGAAGCUUGAGAUUCUCCCACGAAGGAC